rnacentral:lncRNA from 1 species
GUAAGAGCUGGGGAUGAAAGGAGGGCUAAGCAGGAGGCAUGCAAGUUGCAAAGUGGAGCAAUGGGAGAUGUUCUCAGGAAACAGCACUGUGUGUCACGGAAUAUUUUACUUUCAGUUUUUCUGGGUUUUCAGAAAAUGUGGUAACUUUAAAGUUUUCACAGUUGAAUUAAUUCCACAGAACAACUGGUUGUAGAAUCAUAGCAACAUAAUUAUGAGUUGUGCUUCUGGCUCCAAAUCUUUCAUCUAAAAAUAAUCGCAGUGACCACAUCUUGGGAAAACAAAGCCAUUACCUAUUCUUGUGCUCCAGCUAUCUCGGUAGUCACUUACUGGAAAAUGGAUUACAGGCAUUCUCUAAGGCAUGAACAUGAUUUUGAAGAAAUCCUUUACCAUCACACAUCACACAAGCCUGCCUGUGCUCCUCCAGAAACGUAGCCCUAGUACUCCUGGAAGCCCAUUUUGUUCCUUCAGGGAGUAUGCUUUCUUUGUGCAGAGAGGAGAAAAAUGCUGGAGACAGAGAUGUGGGGAGUAAGAGGAGGGACGGUAGUUAUGUUUUGGUACUUUAUUUAAGUACCCGAGUGGAUUAUACUAGAUGCUGCGAUUCAGAAACACAGGCUGUCUACAGGUGAGACACAAGUUUCACCUCCAGGGGUACACAGUUUAAUUGCAGCAAAAUGUUUUAAAGAAGGAAUGCUUCACUGUGGAAAAAGGAAACAAGUGGCUUGUUACCCAAAGAGCACAAGGAACCCCUCCACUGUUGAGUUGUUCACAUUUUCUUGGUUUAUGCUUCAGGUAGAGAGUUCACAGCCCCAAUAUGGAAAUGUGUCUAGAGCUUGGAUCUAGAAGUUUAUGUCUUUCUUGAAGUUCCUGGGUCGUAAUAACCACAGUGAGGACAAAGGCACCAGAACAAUGCCAAACCAGGAGAUAUGGCCUGAAUUAGAAGGAAGACAAGUUUUUAUCAGGCAUAACAAUGAAAGAAGUUGAAACCAUGGAGUUAUUAUUAAGAGAAGUUGUGGAGUAGUUAUUCCUGGUAGCCUCUAAGUAGCAGUUGGUCCUAAAUCACAAAGCUCGAGCUGAGCUUUUGCUCGCCGUCCACCACUGCU